rnacentral:rRNA from 1 species
ACGGUCCAGACUCCUACGGGAGGCAGCAGUGGGGAAUAUUGCACAAUGGGCGCAAGCCUGAUGCAGCCAUGCCGCGUGUGUGAAGAAGGCCUUCGGGUUGUAAAGCACUUUCAGUCGUGAGGAAGGUGGUAGUGUUAAUAGCACUAUCAUUUGACGUUAGCGACAGAAGAAGCACCGGCUAACUCCGUGCCAGCAGCCGCGGUAAUACGGAGGGUGCGAGCGUUAAUCGGAAUUACUGGGCGUAAAGCGCAUGCAGGUGGUUUGUUAAGUCAGAU